AUUAGUGGCGAACGGGUGAGUAACACGUGAGUAACCUGCCCUUGACUCUGGGAUAACCUCCGGAAACGGAAGCUAAUACCGGAUACGAACUGCGAAGGCAUCUUCAGCAGUUGGAAAGAACUUCGGUCAAGGAUGGACUCGCGGCCUAUCAGGUAGUUGGUGAGGUAACGGCUCACCAAGCCUACGACGGGUAGCCGGCCUGAGAGGGUGACCGGCCACACUGGGACUGAGACACGGCCCAG
rnacentral:rRNA from 1 species